CUCAUUAAGCUACCAUGGCAAUGCCGAAUGGAUGGAGGGAGAGAUUUGGGAGGGAGAGGAGGGAGGGAGGAAGAGAGAGACUGGGAGAGAGAGAGAGGGGGGAAGAGAGAGACAGAGACAGAGAGAGAGAAAGACAGAGAGAGACUGUGGAGGGUGGUAUAUGGUGGUAUAGGGUGGUAUAGGGUGGUAUAUGGUGGUAUAUGGUGAUAUAGGGUGGUAUAGGGUGGUAUAUGGUGGUAUAUGGUGGUAUAGGGUGGUAUAUGGGUGGUAUAUGGUGGUAUAGGGUGGUAUAUGGUGGUAUAGGGUUGUAUAUGGUGGUAUAGGGUGGUAUAUGGUGGUAUAGGGUGGUAUAGGGUGGUAUAGGGUGGUAUAGGGUGGUAUAGGGUGAUAUAGGGUGGUAUAGGGUGGUAUAUGGUGAUAUAGGGUGGUAUAGGGUGGUAUAUGGUGGUAUAUGGUGGUAUAGGGUGGUAUAUGGUGUUUUCGUGACCCCGAAGGAGGGAUUCAUCAAAGGUGUUGGUAACGCUUUUAAAUCCCAUUAACAUUAUUUAUAUCUUAGAUAUGACAGAUCCUUAGAACAUUCAUGUACAUUAUAAUAUGUAUGUAUAAAUAUGUUAAGCAUAUUAUGUACUCACAUUGGAUUUAUUCAGUGUGU
ensembl:lncRNA